CGUGGGUGGUGGUGCAUGGCCGUUCUUAGUUGGUGGAGCGAUUUGUCUGGUUAAUUCCGAUAACGAACGAGACUCUGGCAUGCUAACUAGUUACGCGACCCCCGAGCGGUCGGCGUCCCCCAACUUCUUAGAGGGACAAGUGGCGUUCAGCCACCCGAGAUUGAGCAAUAACAGGUCUGUGAUGCCCUUAGAUGUCCGGGGCUGCACGCGCGCUACACUGACUGGCUCAGCGUGUGCCUACCCUACGCCGGCAGGCGCGGGUAACCCGUUGAACCCCAUUCGUGAUGGGGAUCGGGGAUUGCAAUUAUUCCCCAUGAACGAGGAAUUCCCAGUAAGUGCGGGUCAUAAGCUUGCGUUGAUUAAGUCCCUGCCC
rnacentral:rRNA from 1 species